rnacentral:rRNA from 1 species
CCUACGGGGGGCAGCAGUGAGGAAUAUUGGUCAAUGGGCGAGAGCCUGAACCAGCCAAGUCGCGUGAGGGAGUACUGCCCUAUGGGUUGUAAACCUCUUUUGUCGGGGAGCAAAAGCCGGACGUGUCCGGCUGUGAGAGUACCCGGAGAAAAAGCAUCGGCAAACUCCGUGCCAGCAGCCGCGGUAAUACGGGGGAUGCGAGCGUUAUCCGGAUUUAUUGGGGUUAAAGGGUGCGCAGGCGGAUUUUUAAGUCAGCGGUCAAAUCGUGGGGCUCAACCCCCUCCAGCCGGUGAAACUGGGGAUCUAGAGUGUGCGAGAGGUAUGCGGAAUGCGUGGGGUAGCGGUGAAAUGCAUAGAUAUCACGCAGAACCCCGAUUGCGAAGGCAGCAUACCGGUGCACAACUGACGCUCAGGCACGAAAGCGUGGGUAUCGAACAGGAUUAGAUACCCUAGUAGUC